UACGAAGGGGGCUAGCGUUGCUCGGAAUCACUGGGCGUAAAGGGUGCGUAGGCGGGUCUUUAAGUCAGGGGUGAAAGCCUGGAGCUCAACUCCAGAACUGCCUUUGAUACUGAGAAGCUUGAGUCCGGGAGAGGUGAGUGGAACUGCGAGUGUAGAGGUGAAAUUCGUAGAUAUUCGCAAGAACACCAGUGGCGAAGGCGGCUCACUGGCCCGGUACUGACACUGAGGUGCGAAAGCGUGGGGAGCAAACAGG
rnacentral:rRNA from 1 species